CCCUUAGAUGUUCUGGGCCGCACGCGCGCUACACUGAUGCAUUCAACGAGCCUAUCCUUGACCGACAGGUCCGGGUACUCUUUGAAUCUGCAUCGUGACGGGGAUAGAUUAUUGCAAUUAUUAAUCUUCAACGAGGAAUGCCUAGUAGGCGCAAGUCAUCAGCUUGCGUCGAUUACGUCCCUGCCCUUUGUACACACCGCCCGUCGCUCCUACCGAUUGGGUGUGCUGGUGAAAUGUUCGGAUCGGCCGUUUGUCGCGGUUUCCGCGUCAUGUGGCUGAGAAGUUCAUUAAACCCUCCCACCUAGAGGAAGGAGAAGUCGUAACA
rnacentral:rRNA from 1 species